rnacentral:piRNA from 1 species
UGCUGGGUGCUGCUGUGAAGGGUUUUGAACA